rnacentral:rRNA from 1 species
AUACAGAGAGUGCGAGCGUUAAUCGGAAUUACUGGGCGUAAAGCGCGCGUAGGCGGCUUAUUAAGUCAGAUGUGAAAUCCCCGGGCUCAACCUGGGAACUGCAUCUGAUACUGGUAAGCUAGAGUUUUGGAGAGGGAAGUAGAAUUUCAGGUGUAGCGGUGAAAUGCGUAGAGAUCUGAAGGAAUACCAGUGGCGAAGGCGACUUCCUGGCCAAAAACUGACGCUGAGGUGCGAAAGCGUGGGUAGCAAACGGGAUUAGAUACCCUAGUAGUCC